ensembl:lincRNA
UGAACUGGUCAUGCUUAUCAAGGUCCUGCUUUGCCCCAGGAUGGCCGUAGGAACUGAUCGCCUUGUCUGUGACCUGUGAAGUAGCCCUGCAGAGUUGGAAGCACCACCUGUACUUCACAGGAUUGGUUUCUCCCCAGCCUCUUUGGACAUCUGUUCUUAACCCUUCCCCUGAAAUGUGGUGCCCAGCCUGCCCCUCCCAGGCCUGCAUGCCUCCUGUGUCCUCCGAGCCAGCUGUCCUACAGGGUCUGGGGAAGAAGCACCGUUGCCACGUGCAGAAGAGGAAGCGAGGCCACACAGAGGACAGCGGCCAGAGCCACAGGCUGCAGGGCCUGCGCCCCACUCCCACGCCCUGUCAGGAUUCGCUCCUCGCCAUGCUCCCUGGACCACCACCAAUGUGUGCAGCUGACGGCAGCAGCCCCCACCUCUGAAGUAAGGAUCCCCAUCCCCGUGCCACCUGCACGGAGCCCUGUGGCCUGGCCUUGGAAGCGGCUGAGGGCCCAGAGGUGCAUCCUAACCCUCUGGAGGGUGUCCCACCCACCUGUCCCCACUGUAAGGCCAGGGCCAGCGGGAGCUGGCCCAAGUUCACAAAUUCCGAACUCAGACCAGGGAGCAGGACCAGCGUGCCAUCCUGGUGACCCUGCACAGAGGCUUGUCUCUUUCUGCCUCAGUUUCCUCACCCACAAAAUGGAAUUGGGACUUGCAGGGGGCCUGGCCUCACUUCACAGUCUGAGAGGAGGGUGAGCAAGAUGACCACAGGGGACCCUGUGGGGUCACCACCAGCGUGGCUCACGACAGAUCCUUGUCUUUGCCGUGGGCCGGGGGCUGAGUGCUGUGGUCCCCAGGUGUUAGUACAGGUGGCCUUCUCCACCAGGUGCCAAGUGCAGUGACAGAGAGCUCACUGCCUCUGCGCUCUCCCCUGAGAGGAGCGUGCUACCGGUCCAGUAACACUCUGCCACCCUGCGUCUCCACCACGCCUGUUUCAGAUGAGAAAAUGAGUCCAGUGUGGCUACGCAAACUUGCUGGGGUCCCACAGCAAGCAGGGGUCCGAGGCCUGGGUUCAGCCAACUGGGUAAGGAUGAGUCGGUGCCCCAGCAGCCUGCCAUGCACUGGGCCUUCUGCCGCUGUCCCCUUGCAGACCUGCGUUAGACAGACUGUGUGAGCUGUCCCCAUGGAACAGCGAGGUCAGAGACUGUGCUGUCCUUGGGCCUGGCUGGGCUCCUCACCCUUCUGCAGCUGGAUCUGCCUCUCCCUCACGAAAAAUUAAAUGUGAGCUGGGCGUGGUGGUGCACACCUGUGAUCCCAGCACUCAGGAGACUGAGGCAGGAGGAUCUCUGUGAGUUUGAGGCCAGCCAGGGCUACAAAGUGAGUUCAAGGCCAGCCUGGACUACAUAAAGAAACUUUGUCUCAAAAAAAAAAAAUUAUAGAUGCUUCUGUCUCCCCUGCAUAGCUGCUAUAAAGCACCCCAUCAUUUGUGACCCAUGCCAGACACCUGCAUGUGAUCCAGGAGGCUUCCUCCUCAUCCUUCAGUCUCCCCUGGCCUGCUCCUGAUGCUCCACCCCUUCGCUCCUGGAUACAUGGCCAACAUACACAGUGA